AGAUUGAACGCUGGCGGCAUGCCUUACACAUGCAAGCCGAACGGCAGCGCGGGGCAACCUGGCGGCGAGUGGCGAACGGGUGAGUAAUAUAUCGGAACGUACCCUGGAGUGGGGGAUAACGUAGCGAAAGUUACGCUAAUACCGCAUACGAUCUAAGGAUGAAAGUGGGGGAUUCGCAAGAACCUCAUGCUCCUGGAGCGGCCGAUAUCUGAUUAGCUAGUGUGGGUAAGCUACCAGGCAUCGAUCAGUAGCUGGUCUGAGAGGACGACCAGCCACACUGGAACUGAGACACGGUCCAGACUCCUACGGGAGGCAGCAGUGGGAAUUUGGACAAUGGGCGCAAGCCUGAUCCAGCAAUGCCGCGUGAGUGAAGAAGGCCUUGGUUGUAAAGCUUACUUUGUCGAGGAAGAACGUACGUACUCUAAUAAC
rnacentral:rRNA from 1 species